rnacentral:rRNA from 1 species
UACGUAGGGGGCUAGCGUUGUCCGGAAUCAUUGGGCGUAAAGCGCGCGUAGGCGGCCAGAUAAGUCCGGUGUGAAAGCCACAGGCUCAACCUGUGAAUGCCGCUGGAAACUGUCUGGCUAGAGUCCGGGAGGGGCGAGUGGAAUUCCUGGUGUAGCGGUGAAAUGCGCAGAUAUCAGGAGGAACACCAAUGGCGAAGGCAGCUCGCUGGGACGGUACUGACGCUGAGGCGCGAAAGCGUGGGGAGCGAACAGG